rnacentral:lncRNA from 1 species
AUGCAGCAUGAUUGAUGAGAAAAAAAUAGUUGUUUUUCUCUGUAAUUUCAUUGUAUUGGUGGUGUUUGGCGUCCCCAUUUAUUUAUCUUUAUGCUGACUAUACAUUCAACUUCAACUUCUUAAAAGCACAUCGCGUCUUAAUUAUCAAUUUCCACCCAACUGAUUUUCCUAAAUUUAUAUCACAAUUUUUUGCACUUGUAGUAUAAUGAUCAAGGGAUUAAUUAAUUUAUUUGUUUUGUAUCUUUGUAAGUACAUGUAAUGAUAAUCAAAUGUAUGAUCG